rnacentral:snRNA from 1 species
GUGUUGGUUUUGGCAACACCUAUACCAAAACUGGAAUGAUACAGAGAAGGUUAGCAUGGCCCCUGAACAAGGAUGGUACUUAAAUUCAUGAAGCAUUCUGAGCAACU